UCUCUGGUAGUAUAUCGGUUAGUACACGCGCCUGUCAUGAUUCCUCAUAUAUGAAUCCGAGUGCCGCGCGAAAGCUGGGUUCGACUCCCAGCCAGAGAG